rnacentral:rRNA from 1 species
CCUACGGGGGGCUGCAGUGGGGAAUAUUGGACAAUGGGGGGAACCCUGAUCCAGCCAUGCCGCGUGUGUGAAGAAGGCCCUCGGGUUGUAAAGCACUUUCAGUGAGGAAGAACGCCUGGUGGUUAAUACCCAUCAGGAAAGACAUCACUCACAGAAGAAGCACCGGCUAACUCCGUGCCAGCAGCCGCGGUAAUACGGAGGGUGCGAGUGUUAAUCGGAAUUACUGGGCGUAAAGCGCGCGUAGGUGGCUGGAUAAGCCGGUUGUGAAAGCCCCGGGCUCAACCUGGGAACGGCAUCCGGAACUGUCAAGCUAGAGUGCAGGAGAGGAAGGUAGAAUUCCCGGUGUAGCGGUGAAAUGCGUAGAGAUCGGGAGGAAUACCAGUGGCGAAGGCGGCCUUCUGGACUGACACUGACACUGAGGUGCGAAAGCGUGGGUAGCAAACAGGAUUAGAUACCCUUGUAGUC